UUUAUAAUAUAUCAAAUCAACUUAACUAAACCUCAAAUCAUUUGCCUUGACCUAAAAAAUUUACAAAAGCGGAGUACAUUAGAACACAAGAAGCAAGAUUGUGUAUAACUUCGACAAAAAUAUAUCAUCAAAUUAUCACAACAGCUAAUAUCUUUUGAAAAAUUUGAAGAACUGAAGAAAGCAAAGAACAAGAAAAAAUUAGGAAUAAAUGCAGCUUCAAUCGAAGCAAAAGUAGAACCAAUGGCAGAACCCGUCGUAGAAGACGAUGCAGAAGCAAAAAUCUAAAGCAUUAGCUCAACGAUCUAAAUGGAAUCGUCACUGAAAUACACGAGAGGCGAGAACUCCACAAAUUCUCCAUGAUCACCUCAUCCUCCAUUCAUAACUCCAUCGUCAACGUGUUGAUG